CUCUGGCGCUGCUCCCCAGGCAUAUAUAUGCAGGGGUCAGCCAGCAGGCUGACUUCCUGUGUGAUGAUGGCAGCAGGCGGACCUGGUGGCUCUGGCCAGGGCUGUUUGUGGCAGUGUGGUCCGAGCAUCUGCUAUGUUGGUUCAUGGUGAUGCCAGCAGUGUUACAGAGACACGGAUCUCGUCCAUGCACUUUAAGAUAAGUGCUCAAAGGCCACGGUUGACCAAGAGUAACUAGAACCAAGAAGAAUAAAACCAUGGAUGAGGGGGUUCUGUACUGGCGAGUGCAUCUUUGGAGCUGUCAGCAAGGCAAGAGGGUUCCCCCCCACACACCCCAUCUCAGCUCAGAAGAGGCUGAGAUCUUUCUGGAAGCACUGCACAGGAUGACCUGGAGUGAAUACAGUGAGACAGACUCCAGAGGCUACUCCAAGUGUCAGAUUGGAGAUGGAGUCCCUGAAGGACGCUGUAGGGCUGGAGAUGAAAUUGAUUCCGUCCGUGCAGGGUGAGGGGAGGGAGGAGAAAAGGUGUCCAUUUUCUAAACAUUUUCCUCUUGAAAUUAAAGUUAAAAAAUUUUUUUCUGUGUGUUUUUUAGGGCAGCACCCACGGCAUAUGGAGGUUCCCAGGCUAGGGGUCAUAAAUGUUUAUUUUUGUCGAGGAAUACCUAAAUGUAAAGACAAGGGAAUUCUGUAAGUCUCGUUAUCAAUAAGAUCAAUCCCUGCCCACGCACCUCGCUUUUAGCUGAUGGCCCCCCACCGUUCACCUCCAUCUCUCAACUGCACGCUUGUGCUCCUGCUCUUUGCUUUUCGAGAUGUUUCCUCUUGUGAAAGACAAGCAUUUCAGUAACCACCUUCUCCAACACCAACGCUCACUCACGCAUCUCUUCUCUGCCUUUAUCCUCCCAAAGGAGAUUUAUGGGGUUUUGCUUCCUCCUUCCCUCCCGUCCUGCCUUCGUUCUUUCUGUUUGGGUUUUAUGUUGUCAUGACUUUGCAGCACGCUGUCCGAACCUCUGAACUACAUAGAUGCUGUGAUUACUUUUUUUUCCCCCGAGUCAACAUUUUGUUUGCCAGGAAAUUAUUCAUUGUCUAGUUGUUUAUGGUUUGGUUUGGUUUGGGCUUUGUUUUCUUUGGUCUUAUCAAUCAGGCAACCGUAAACUCUCGCCCAAGAUGUUCAAACAGAAUUUUAAGCCACUUUCAUCUUCAAGAGGUCUCCCCUAGGGGCCUCUGUCUUCUCCAGCCAGACUGGGUGCCUGCGAAUCUGUUUUGCUUUUCCCGUGUUUAUGGAGCUGCCAAGAUGCAGCUUUUUGUGGGAGGUGAGGAUGGAAAUUGGCCUGCCCAUGGGCAUGCACGUGAGGCCCCUCGUGAUGUGGGAUGGAUCCAGGAGCUGGGAGAAGAAGAGAAAGGAUGUCACCAGGGCCAGAACUCCCCAUGCCUCCGCAUUCUGAAGCAGAGCAUCAGAGAGCCCGAGGAUUCUCUAUCAGAACCUGGCCUUCCAGGUAGUUCUGCAGGUGUAUCUGUCAAGGUAGGAGAGAGCAUAUUUCACUUAUUACUUUGUUUGUUAGCUUCAUUUAGAACUUUAAAAAAUUUAGAUAUAUGACAUAUGUCCAUUUAUCCUCCUGUCCAGACCCUUCAAGUGUUGGGAGUGGGCUUGGCACUGGUGGGGCACCUCUCAUCUGGAAAUUCAUCUGUCUAGUCUGGGAAAGUUUCUUGAAUUAUUUCUUAGAUGAUCUCCCCUCUGCCACUUUCUCUCUUCUGGGGCUCUGAUUAGUUGUGUGUUGGACCUUCUAUGCAAGUCCUCUCAUUUUCCUGAAUUUUCUCUUUUCUUUCCUACCUUCCUUCCUCCCUCUCUCUCUCCCCCUCCCUUCCUUAUUUCUUCUCUUCUCUCCUUCCUUCCCUUUCUUUUUUCACUCUUUUUUCCUCCCCCACACUUUCCAUUUAAAAUUAUUCUUUUAUGAUAUCACAUUUUUAGUUUCCCAGGGUGCUUUUUGUGUGCCUCGAAUGUAUCUUUUUAAAAUGCAGUCCAUUCUUUUUAUUCAGUCUAUGUUACCUUCUCCUGGUGUGGUCCAUUUUCCCUCCAGUUUACUCCUUUUCAUUGGUUUAUUUGCUUGAUUUUCCUUUGGGGGUGAUACACUUCUAAGAUGCUUGUUCCGGAAGGUCUGAUUGUCCUUGGCGAACCACUCUCAGGUGGCAGCAGCGCUGUGGUGAGGGCUAAGCCUUGCCGCAUUCGCUGUUGUCGAUCUGGCUGGAAAUAUUGCAAGCAGGAUCCCAGCUGUGAACAUCUUUUGGUCUGUACCUUGGGCUGGUUGGAUUCCCGGAGAAGACUUUCCCACGUUCCUGCCUGGAGUGGCUAAUCCUCACUGCCACGGUCAUGGGGUCCAAGGAGGGGAAAGGCUGCAAGGCACCUCUGCAUUCAUGUUAUGACCUUUUAUUUAAUCCUUCUUUUUUCAGUGUGAGAGCUUGGCCCUACUGUUUGGUGUUUCCCAGUCCAGAGACCCUCCCUUGGACCCUACAUCGCAUCUGUCUUCUUUAACUUAGCACAGUGUUUUUGUUUCAGUGGUGUCAUAGCAUGUAUCUGUAGCUCAUCCACUUUUUGUUUCAUUUUUUUUCUUUUUAAGGCCACACUUGCAAGAUAGGGAAGUUCCCAGGCUAGAGGUCGAAUUAGAGCUGC